ACAACUCCUAUACACUUUUGGGAGAAUAUUUAGUAGCUAGCAAGAUCAAAGGUUGAGAGAAAUGAUGAACAAGUUCAAGAAAUCAGAAAUUGUAGUGCUUUUAAGCCUCACAAUUCUUCUAGUAAUAACUCCUCUUCUUUCCUCAUCCCUAAGACCAACUUAUCUCUACUUCAUCUUCAACCUCCUCAUCAUUGCCCUUGGAGUACAAGCUGGGCUUCUCAAUGACCCUCCUCCCGAUCAUCAAGACAAGACCAACAAGCUUUCUCUAACUUCACCUGAAACCGUUGCUUCGUCCACGGAAACCUCCGCCCUCAAGAAGCAUAGGGCUUUGGAGAAGGCUCACUCCGACAAGAUUUCAUCCGGCAAUGUCAAAAUGGAAUCUCUUAAGAAGUGUCCCUCCGCUUCGAGUAUUUUCUAUAUCGGAGAGGGCGAUAGCGAGGCUGAGGAGACGACAGGGACGAUCGAGGACGGGGAAGAGGAGGUCGUUGUCGGGGGCGGUGGAAAUAAUAAUGGUCAAGAAUUGUUUGCUCAAGCUGAGACGUUUAUUGGGAACUUUUACAAGCAGUUGAAGAUGCAGAAAGAAGAGUCUUGGAAAAACAUUCAUGGUUUCUAUCAAAAACGCUUUUGAGGAAAUGAAUGAAAAUUAUAUGAAAAAUAUAUGAACACAAAGACACAAAAGAGAAAGCUGUUGUAGGUUUGUACAGUUUAAUCCAGUUUUAUUGUAUUGUGUUUCUAAUUUUACUUCUCUUUCUGUAACGAAAGCCAAGCCAUAAUAUAUAUAAUUUAAUUUAAGAAAAAUAUAUAUGAAGAUGAAUCUAAGAAGACUAGCUAGCAAGGUUAUAUUAUAUCGUCUAAUAGAUAUACAUACCUAAGUAAACUGCAUGGUCUGUUUGAAGGAAAAAGAAAGUUAGAAGCCUCACUCCAUGUGGGUUUAUGUUUGAACUCAAAUGUUUGAGGAUCAAGCAGUAACUGUAUUAGCAAUAAAAUGUCAAAAUGAUAUGUUUCAAUUAAAGCAACAAAAACUAUGGUAGCCAUUACGGUAAUCGUAACAAUUACGGUAACAAUAC
rnacentral:lncRNA from 1 species